AGCUUCUUGAAGUGAAUUGCCUUUUUGACCAAGAAGAAAUAAAUGAGUAGAUGAACCGAGGAAAAAUGAGGUACUGAAGAAGAAUGAAGUCUUUCUAAUAUAUCUUCUCUCUACCAGAUACUUGCCCUGGAAACCAGCCAUGAUGCUGUGAUGAAAUCCAGGCAACAGAGUUGUGUUUCAGCCCAAAGCAGCAGGUGGGAUCCAGGUGACUGACAUCAUUAUCUGUCAGACAUGUGAGAGAAAUCCUUAAGAUGACUUCAGAUUCAUCACUCAUUUUCUUCAACCACAUGAGAAACCUAGAGAGAGAACCACCCAGCCAAGGCCAAUCUCUAGAACUUCAAAAGCUUCAGGACCAUCAUCUGACGUAGGGGAAGAAGACUUCCAUAGGAUGCUCAAUCACCACCCAAGAUCAUGUAAGGUUUAAA